CAUGAAGCUGGAAUCGCUAGUAAUCGCGAAUCAGAAUGUCGCGGUGAAUACGUUCCCGGGUCUUGUACACACCGCCCGUCACACCAUGGGAGUCAGUAACGCCCGAAGUCAGUGACCCAACCGUAAGGAGGGAGCUGCCGAAGGCGGGACCGGUAACUGGGGUGAAGUCGUAACAAGGUAUC
rnacentral:rRNA from 1 species